UCUCUAUUUUCCUCAGGCUUCACUUCCAGAUUUGAUUUAUGCAAAGCCACUGUGAAAAAGUCAACUAAAUCCUAACUGGGAAACUGGAGUUAAAAAGGUGACGCUGUGUCAAGUCGCAGCAACUGUGAGGCGUGAAUGAUGGAGGGAGUCCUUAACGAAGAGGAGAUAAACACUUAGGGUGCGAAAGGGAAGGGGAACUUUACCUGAUGCUUCUGCCUGCACACGGAGCCGCACAAGAGCGAGGCAGCGAGUGUGUUUGUUUGCUCCAUUCACUUGGAUGGAUGCCUAAUUACAUCAAGCCCGGUCUGCUUUGGUGAACGUGUGCAUAUCCAAAAGCACCGAGGCUAAAUCUGCAAGUUCGAGAUAAAGAUUUAUCUGAGGAAAUAUGAAAAAGCCUCAGGAAUCCAGAUGGAUCCGGUCUUGCACUGCACUGUUUCAAGCUUCAGUCAACAGUCUCGGAGCAAACGGAGCAGCAGGGAUUUCUGGGUGACUAAGCUACGCUCAUGUAGAAAUCCUGCUGCUCGUACGGAUGGGUUGGUUUUCUGGCCGAAGAGGCGGAAAUGUCUGCAGCUAAAUAGUUAUGUAACAGCACAUCCGGAGAGUGUGUGCUGCUUCAACCCUCCUGUGACCUACGCUCACCGCUAACAAGCUCGUCAAACGAGGCUGGGGUUUGCAUUGUUGACAGAAAAGAUGGCCGACGGGUUGGAUAUUUAACGGACUAAUCAGCCUUCGUGUCCGUGUUUUACAUUUGUACCUCGUAAAAUCUGCGUGUGAUGUGUUCAGGGACCUUCUAGAGAAUAGGCCAUAAAUGAUUUGAAGACAAAAAUUACGAGAGCACAAAUCCUUAAGUUGUAUUACAGUUGUUUAUUUUGAUUUAAACAUGCUUUUAAUACAUUUAUUAAAAGAAAAGUUCACUGCUGAAAAGCGAUCUCUUUGGCUGCUAAAAUAAUCUGCUUGACUGGCAGCUUCUUUCCCCAGUGACCAUUCGCCAGUCAGUCACCUCAGUCACUGAGCCACAAUGUUUACAUUAACUGUCUAGUGAACAAAUCAGGAAUCCGUGAACCCUGAACGUGGGAGUAUUUAAUCACGUCCCUAAUCUUUAUUGUAUUGUCA